rnacentral:lncRNA from 1 species
GGAGGCCAUGAUUGUGAGAAGAAUGCGUUAAAAUCGGCUAUGGUGUAUGACGUGGCGGAUGACAAGUGGGUCCCACUGCCUGACAUGGCGAGUGAGCGCGAUGAGUGUAAGGGAGUCUUCCACCUUGGCAAGUUCCACGUCAUUGGCGGGUACCCCACCGAAUCGCAAGGCAGGUUCGGGAGGAGUGCGGAAGCGUUCGACGUUGCCACGUGGCAGUGGGACGAGGUUUGCGAGAAUUUCUUAGAAGCUGCCACGUGUCCAAGAUCAUACGUGGACAACGGAGAGGGAAAUGUGUACAAGUGGAGUUCCAGCUCAGGCGAGAUUAUGAUGACCAAUGACAGUGCCACGUGGCAAGUAGUUGCUGAGCUGCCAUCCGAGGUGUUAACUUCUACACACAUGACAGCGUGGCAAGAGAAGCUGAUGGUGAUUGGCUCACAUAGAUUUGGUGAGCCCC